rnacentral:rRNA from 1 species
CAGCAGCCGCGGUAAUACGUAGGGUGCGAGCGUUACUCGGAUUUACUGGGCGUAAAGCGUGCGCAGGCGGCCCGUUAAGACAGGUGUGAAAUCCCUGGGCUCAACCUAGGAAUUGCGCUUGUGACUGGCGGGCUCGAGUACGGUAGAGGGGGGUGGAAUUCCUGGUGUAGCAGUGAAAUGCGUAGAGAUCAGGAGGAACACCGAUGGCGAAGGCAGCCCCCUGGGCCUGGACUGACGCUCAUGCACGAAAGCGUGGGGAGCAAACAGGAUUAGAUACCCUGGUAGUCCACGCCCUAAACGAUGGGUACUAGCCGUUUGGUGCGCGAUAGCGCUGAGUGGCGAAGCUAACGCGAGAAGUACCCCGCCUGGGGAGUACGGCCGCAAGGUUGAAACUUAAAGGAAUUGGCGGG